ensembl:misc_RNA Gm55107 predicted gene, 27350
UUGCAAAUUUGCAGAUUUUCCCAGAAUGGAACUAACUGGAACUCUUCAUUUUACAGCUAUGGCUCACUGCCCCUCAGGGGGCAGGGGGCUGGUGAUUC